rnacentral:rRNA from 1 species
UACGUAGGGGGCAAGCGUUGUCCGGAUUUAUUGGGCGUAAAGAGCGUGUAGGCGGCCAAACAGGUCCACUGUGAAAACUCGAGGCUCAACCUCGAGAGGUCGGUGGAAACCGUCUGGCUAGAGUCCGGAAGAGGAGAGUGGAAUUCCCGGGUGUAGCGGUGAAAUGCGCAGAUAUCGGGAAGAACACCCGUGGCGAAGGCGGCUCACUGGCCCGGUACUGACGCUGAGGUGCGAAAGCGUGGGGAGCAAACAGG